rnacentral:rRNA from 1 species
UACGGGGGGGCAAGCGUUGUUCGGAAUUACUGGGCGUAAAGGGCUCGUAGGCGGCCAACUAAGUCGGAUGUGAAAUCCCCAGGCUCAACCUGGGAACUGCAUCCGAUACUGGAUGGCUUGAAUUCGGGAGAGGGAUGCAGAAGUUCCAGGUGUAGCGGUGAAAUGCGUAGAUAUCUGGAGGAAUACCGGUGGCGAAGGCGGCAAUCCGUGGACCGACAUUGACGCUGAGGAGCGAAAGCCAGGG